GGAGGUCUAAUUCGGCUGGGGCCGGAACCCCGUUGCUAGCGGGUGUGAUCCGAUUCUGGGUUGCAGUUCGAUUCUGCAGACCUCCGC
rnacentral:tRNA from 1 species